GAUGAACGCUGGCGGCGUGCUUAACACAUGCAAGUCGAACGAAGCACUUUAUUUGAUUUCCUUCGGGACUGAUUAUUUUGUGACUGAGUGGCGGACGGGUGAGUAACGCGUGGGUAACCUGCCUUGUACAGGGGGAUAACAGUUGGAAACGGCUGCUAAUACCGCAUAAGCGCACAGCAUCGCAUGAUGCAGUGUGAAAAACUCCGGUGGUAUAAGAUGGACCCGCGUUGGAUUAGCUAGUUGGUGAGGUAACGGCCCACCAAGGCGACGAUCCAUAGCCGACCUGAGAGGGUGACCGGCCACAUUGGGACUGAGACACGGCCCAAACUCCUACGGGUGGCAGCAGUGGGGAAUAUUGCACAAUGGGCGAAAGCCUGAUGCAGCGACGCCGCGUGAGCGAAGAAGUAUUUCGGUAUGUAAAGCUCUAUCAGCAGGGAAGAUAAUGACGGUACCUGACUAAGAAGCACCGGCUAAAUACGUG
rnacentral:rRNA from 1 species